rnacentral:lncRNA from 1 species
CUUGAAUCCAAAAGUGGAGAUUUCUGUAUACAGAUUAAUGCAUUAAGAUGGGCAUUGAAACAGUGUUUUAUUUGCAGAGAAUCAUUCUAUAUUACAAACACAUAGAAGAAGGUCUGACACAUAUUUAGCACAAACAUGCAAGGGCAGAGGUGUCAAACAUAAGGCCUAAUGUAUGCAGCAAGAAACCAACAAGGCCAGAAGCAAUUCCCAUCUACAUUAACUACGACUUAAUAAUUUAGAGGUACUCUAAGCACCAUAACCACUACAGUCUGUCAUUGUGGUGUUGGUGCACAGAACUCCCCCUUCUGCCAUUCACUGCAUGUGUGAUCUUCAGUAUCCUCUGCCAGUUUGACUGUAACCUGGGAGCAAUGAACAGCUUCCUGUCAGACCAGGUAGAGGAAGCAGAAGAUCCUCCACGUAGUCCGCUUAGCGCAAGAUGAACAGCAGGCACAGGAAGUGAGAAGGAGGUGUGGGCACAGAGGAAGGACUGGUUGAAACAAAGAGGUGCACAGAAGGGCUGGGAGGCACAUAGAAACACACAGAAGGGCUGGGGGGGCAAAGAGGCGCACAGAAGGGAUGGUGCACAGAGGGCUGAUGGGGGGAAAAUGAGGCACAUAGAAACGUUGGGGGUACAAAGAGACACACAGAGAGGCUGGGAAGGACAAAAAGAUGGACAGACGGGUUAGAGGAGCAAAGAGAUGCACUGAGGGACUGGGGAGGACAAAGAGAUGGGACAGAGGGGAUAGGGAGCAAAGACACGCACUAAGGGGCUUGGGGGGACAAAGACACAGAGGGCUAGGGGGACAAAGAGACACAAAGAGGUGCUAGUAAGACAAAGGUUCAGGGGAAAAGAGACACAAAGAGGGGCUUGAAGGACAAAAAGACACACAGAGGCGCUGGAGGGGGACAAAGAGACACACAGAGGCGCUGGGGUGGGGACAAAGAGGCCCAUAGAGGGGAAGGGGAAAAAAGAGACACACAAAGGGGCUGGGGAAGAAACAGACACACAAAGUUGGCAAUUUUGUUUUUAGGUGUGCAGAGUGCAAGUAGCUGGUCUUCAACUGGCCCUGUAUAAAACAGAUUAUGAAAAUGAUGACACUAGUACAUUCAGUUAGAAUAAAGAGAUAUAGGAGAUGAGGAUUAAGCAUUAAAUUCAUCUCUCCAUAGCCAACGCAUCUGAGACCUCUGCCCAAGGAAAUUCUUAUUAAUGAGUAGUUAAGGAGUUAAUUUAUCAUGUUGCAAUGGAAGAUGACAUUGAAGUCUCCAACUAAGUCUAAUCCUACAGAUGUUUUUCACCUUACUGAAAUAUCUCCCCCUUUUAACCAUUUAGAAAAUCUGAUAUGGAUAUGGUCUUCCUCAAAGGAACCAACUAAUAAUAAUUUGUGAAGGCUACUGGUGUACUAAAUUGAACAUAUUCCAAGCAGCACAUUCUAACGAUGGUAAAACAGAAGCAUAUAAAUAUGGUACAGUAACAUUCAAUACAUUCUGUAAAAUGAAAAGAAUGAAAUAUAUGCACAGUGUAUUGGUCAGCAGUGUUCCUUCUAAGCGCUAUUUUGUUAUAGAAACUCUGUAACUACAUUAUACAGAUCACUUUUUUCUUAUGCAAGCUAUCUGCAUGUUUAUAAUUGUUUUAAGUAUUCCUUUCCUGACUGUUUUGUGAAUAAUGUGCUAGUAUGGAAGCCUGUGAGUCAGCAGACAUUCUACAUGUAUAGCUAGUAUUACCAAUAUUCAAUGUUUCCUCUGCUUCUGUUGAUCUAAAAGUGUGAUGGACUUCUCUGAAUGGUCUAUGUUCCUGAUGAGCAUUUCCAGUCUCCUUUUUAUUUUCUUCUGAUCCUCUAGUGCACAUCCAAUGAUGAUGGACUGAAACUUCUGAUCAAUCGGCCCUUGGUUGAUAUCUGAAGUACAUGCCCCAUAUAGGGAGAUCAGUUGUUUCCUGCCAGUCUCCAGGUUGUCUGUCACUUUCUUUGCAAUUUCAUCAAUGACUGCAGUAGCAUGCUGGAGGGCAGUGGCCUGCUGUGGGUUUCGGAUAGUUUCUAAGGAGACCUCCACAGUGAGUGUGCGAUUCAUUAGUCUAUCUGCUGUUAUUGUCAGCUCUUCUCUCUCACCUAGAACAAAAAGAAGCCAUUCUCAAAACUAGGCACAAUAAAUAGUAUGAUUCCCUUAAUGAUGAACCCCUUCACUCCUAGUAAUCUGUAGACACAGAGAUAGUAUGACCCAAGGUACACGAAAGAUCCUGUCAUAUACUAAAGGUAGGGAUUCGUUUUUCUAUUUUUG